AUGAAUAUCCUUGCCUGGAACUGUCGAGGCUUGGGGUUGGACUUGACAGUUGGCGAACUGCGUAACCUGAUUAGGUCCCACAACCCAGUGGUGGUUUUCUUGAGUGAAACUAAGAAGAGUGCAGGAGCGAUGGAAAAACUAAAAUGGAGUUUGGGUUUCAGAAGUGGAGUAGCGAUGAGCUGUGUGGGCAGAAGUGGUGGGCUUUCUCUGUGGUGGUGA
rnacentral:rRNA from 1 species